GGCAGCAGUGAGGAAUAUUGGACAAUGGGCGAAAGCCUGAUCCAGCCAUGCCGCGUGUGUGAAGAAGGUCUUCGGAUUGUAAAGCACUUUAAGUUGGGAGGAAGGGCAGUAAGCUAAUACCUUGCUGUUUUGACGUUACCGACAGAAUAAGCACCGGCUAACUCUGUGCCAGCAGCCGCG
rnacentral:rRNA from 1 species